rnacentral:rRNA from 1 species
AUGGUGGGCGGCGCCAUGGAGGACGGAGCGCGGGAGGUGGAGCGGUGGGAGGGGUACGUGGACUGGAGGAGCCGGCCGGCGGUGAAGGGCCGGCACGGCGGCAUGGUCGCCGCCUCCUUCGUGCUGGUUGCGGAGGUGCUUGAGAACCUGGCGUUCCUGGCGAACGCGAGCAACCUGGUGACGUACCUGAUGAAGUCCAUGCACUACUCGCCGGCGCAGUCAGCCACCACGGUGACCAACUUCAUGGGCACGGCCUUCCUGCUCGGCCUCUUCGGCGGCUUCCUCUCCGACGCCGUCUGCACCACCUACGCCGUCUACCUCAUCAGCGCCUUCGUCGAGUUCAUGGGUUUGGUGGUCCUGACGAUCCAGGCGCGGUCACCGUCGCUGAUGCCACCGGAGUGUACCAAGGCUGCUGGCGCGCUGCCGUGCGAGCCGGUGUCUGGGGGUAAGAAGGCGAUGCUGUUCGUGGGGCUGUACCUGACGGCUCUGGGCAUCGGCGGCAUCAAGGGCUCCCUGCCGUCGCACGGCGCGGAGCAGUUCGACGAGCACACGCCGCGGGGCCGCAAGGGCCGCUCCACCUUCUUCAACUACUACGUGUUCUGCCUCUCCUGCGGCGCGCUCAUCGCCGUCACCUUCGCCGUGUGGGUGGAGGACAACAAGGGGUGGCAGUGGGGGUUCGGCAUCUCCACCAUCGCCAUCCUGCUCUCCAUCCCGGUCUUCGCCGCCGGCUCCAAGUUCUACCGCAGCAAGGUGCCCACGGGCAGCCCGCUGGUCACCAUCGGCAAGGUCCUGCUCGCGGCCGCGUCCGCGCGCCGCGGGGGCACGCAGAGCGCCAGCAACGGCGCCGUCAUCGACCGCGCGCCCAGCCCCACGGGGAGCACCGACAUGAAGGAGUACUGCAAGCCCGGGAGCACAUGCGCCGCCGACGAGGUGACGGAGCCGUCCCAGGAGCUGAGCGGCCUGAACCGAGCGGUGCAGUGCCAGCCGCGGCACAGGACCCUGGCGUGCACGGUGCAGGAGGUGGAGGACGUCAAGAUCGUGCUCAUGGUGCUCCCCAUCUUCCUCUCCACCAUCAUGCUCAACUGCUGCCUGGCCCAGCUCUCGACCUUCUCCGUGGAGCAGGCGGCCACGAUGAACACCCACGUCGGGGGCCUGAAGGUGCCGCCGGCGUCUCUACCGGUGUUCCCCGUCACGUUCAUCAUACUCCUGGCGCCCAUCUACGACCACAUCAUCGUCCCGUUCGCGCGGCGGGUAACCGGGACGGAGAUGGGCAUCACCCACCUCCAGCGCAUCGGCACCGGGCUGGUCCUCUCCAUCGUGGCCAUGGCGGUGGCCGCCGUCGUCGAGGUGAAGCGCAAGAACGUGGCCACCGACGCCGGCAUGAUGGACUCCACGGCGCCGCUGCCCAUCACCUUCUUCUGGAUCGCGUUCCAGUACCUGUUCCUGGGGUCCGCGGACCUGUUCACGCUGGCGGGCCUGCUGGAGUUCUUCUUCAGCGAGGCGCCGCCGCGGAUGCGGUCGCUGGCGACGUCGCUGUCGUGGGCGUCGCUGGCGCUGGGGUACUACCUGAGCUCCGUGCUGGUGACGGUGGUGAACAGCGCGACGGGGCGCGGCGGGCACCGGGCGUGGCUGGAGGGGGCGAGCCUGAACCACUACCACCUCGAGCGGUUCUACUGGCUCAUGUGCGUGCUCAGCGCGCUCAACUACGUCUUCUUCUUGGUGCUGGCCAUCCGGUACAAGUACAGAAACGCUGGGGUGAUCAAGGGCCACACGAGAUCAUCAAGGGUUGUUGGAGCAGUUUCGCCAGCGCUCUCAAGAACGCUUCCACCUGGGGUUUGCUUGCUUCCGGGGUCAUAA